rnacentral:lncRNA from 1 species
GGACGCAUGCGUCGCGGCACCUCGUGCUCCACAUGUCUGAUGGCAUGACCAGGAGAUCAUGCAUAGUGACACCAUGCCCUCCAGAUGUCUGAUCCACGGCCUGACCUCAUCCAGAUUGACACUCAGCGCACACAUGUCGCUCAGCAUGCUCCGAUCGCAGGUUUCGCGGCACCUCGUGCUUCUGGGUGUCAAUCAGCAUGCUGUGCUCUCCUGGGCUUCAACACCUCCUGCUUCCCUUGCCACAUACCAUGCCAGGCAGGUUACAUGACGUCCUUAUCUCAUAGAUAAGGCCAGCUCGAGCUUCUCGGUCCAUUCGACUGAUUUCGACCCUUCCGGUGAAUUUUCGUCCCGUGAUCAAUCCCGAAUAUUUUUCUACGCCCGUUCUGAUGAGAUGAAUAUUUUUAAUAAACUCCAAGUGAAUCCUGACCUUGAUGGAAAAUAUUUCCCGAGCCUCCGGCUUCCUCGAAAAAUCGAUAAUACCAAAAUUAGGGUUUUCGCCCAACUUCGGGUUUUCCCGUCGUGCUUCAAUCCCGUCGUGCUUGCUUCCCGUCCUGCUUAAUUCCCGUCCUGCUUCCGACUUAUAAUGUCUUCAGAAUAAUAUUUUACUGAUACGAAGAUAUUCUGAGAAAACUUCGCGAUGAAGAAACGUCAAUCUUCAAAAACGUCGAGCUUCUAAACCGUCGUGCUUCAAAAAUGUGAUUCUUCCAAAACUGCCGUCUGAUCAAUCUAAGACAUUUCUAACAAUGGUAGAGCAGCUUAUCUCAACUCAUGCUUCACUCACGAUCCAUUCUUCGAACUUCUCGUACUUCAAAUUUCCCGAUCGAUCUGUAUUGCCCGCGACUCAACCACAAAGAUACUCGACCAUUCUCUCUCUCUUUUCUUUUUUUUUUUUUUUUUUUUUUUUUUUUUUUUAACGGGUUUCUACAUUCUCCCCCCCUUAAUAGAAUUCGUCCUCGAAUUCUUAGUUGCGAAAUUGCUGGUCUUCACAACACUCUCCAGUCGUCUCCAUAACCUCUUUGCUCCUUCCACCACGGUUCCUUCAGUGUCCUCUUCAAGGCCUCCACAAUUGUCUUUAUAUCUCUUCACUUGUAUGAUGACUGAGUCGUCCUCUUGCUUUUACUCUGUCAUAACACACUCAUCGCCCAUGAUACUAUCUUGUCAUUUUGAUAGAUAUCAUCCUUGUCCAGAUUCCUCAAAUCCUUCUCGAUCUUCGUCUUCCCAAGUACUGAUGAAGUCCUUUCCCAACGAAGUCUUGUUUCUUCCCAUCUGUCCAGUCCAUACCACAGCCCAGUUCUCCGAAUCUGUCUCUCCUCUUUCGCUUCGGGUUUGGGUUUGGCCUUGAACUCCCUCCACUUUAAGGUUUUCAUCCCUUAAAGUACCGAUCAACAAACGCACUUACUCGCUGCAACUCAAAAGAACACUUCACAUGCAAGUUAGUAGACAAUUAAUCAAAUAAUCUACUAACCUAGCAAAUACUAACAAUGCAACCUAACCGCAAUUCUAACCAGCAACCUAACAGUUCUACCCAAGCAACCUAACAGUUCUAGAUUCCACUAUCUCAAUCCUAAUUCCUAAAACCACAAAUCCUAUCGCUGGACGUGACCGGUUUCCCUAAUGCCUUUUGUGACUCAUUUUGACUCGAUAAAUAUUUAAAACCGAUUAAAUCAUGAGUUCCGGAAGCAUGGACGAAACCAUGCUCUGAUACCACCUCUGUAACACCCCCGAACCGUCCUAGACAUAUGGUCGAUCAACCGGCCAACAAUCAAACAAGAACAUGACCGAUCGACCGUCCAAUACCCAGGGUUGGAGAUGAAAGGCCAACCGGCCAGCCAACAAUCAAACAAGAACAUGACUGACCGUCCAACCCAACACCAUGGUCCGGAAGCGCUACGUGACGGGCUAGGGACAAUCCGGUCAGAGUCGCAAACUUUACUCCACGACCUAGACCAGUUCAUCCACUAACUCGUCCCGCUGCGUCAAGGCAUAAGGCUUUGCAACCCGUACCUAGAGUUAGCGUUUUCCGUUAGCUCAAGGCCUAAGGCUUUUCAACCCGUACCUCGACCUAACGUUGUGUUAGACCGGACUAGUCAAAUAUCAGAGUACUCAUGAAGCGCAUAUAAAACAAUUACUUUAUUGAUUCAAGAAAUAUUCAUACAUUGAAUAAUUCAAGACUGGGCCCGGCCUAAUGCCAAAUCGAGUAAACAUAACACAAUUCACAAUACCGUUUACAAAAGGCAUGAAAAUCUACACCGGCGGUCCUAACGUCCAGCACGAAGCUAUCCGAUCAUCCUUACCUAAAGCGACCUGCAAAAAGGACAACGGAGUUGGAUGAGUAAUCUAAUAUUACUCAGUGAGCUGGCGGCCUCUACCCGCAACCUAGACUCUACCCAGACAACCCAAAAUAACAAUCAAUCUAGCCCUAGCAUGCAAUAAAAGCUAAGGCUAAGCAAACCGUUACUAAGUUAGACUUGGCCUCCUGCCAUGAUCUAGCUUCAAGUAACGGGAACCUGCAUAAAAACAAGUCAACAACCAAUCCCUAGUUAACCAUAUAUACGCCUGAGUUCAGUACUCAUGUAGUGUUAGACAUUAGACUAUACAAGUAUCACUAGUCGAUCGACCAACAAUCAAACAAGAACAUGAUCGGCCAACCAAUGAUACCGCAUAGCUUUAAUAUCCACCACCCUUCACAAGCAAUCACUCAAACACAUACAGGCCAACGUCAGGCCUACACUAACGAAAUACACAUCAAGCCUAAUCCGGUACCUAAACCAGACUUAGACUUAACGUCAGAACCUGCAAGCAAAUCAAUCAACCACAAACACAAUCACAAUAAUAAGACUAUGAGUAACUACGACUCGAUCUAACUUGUAACACCGUAUAUCGGUGCUACACUAACUCGAGGGUUCCAUAACCCUCUACGACACACUAACACAACACUCUAACCUGGGCCCUGGUGACUUCGUGUUCCUCCUCCCUAUCGGCAAUAUCCUAUCUUCCUACCACAAAGGCCAGAAGAAGGAACUUUCAACCGACCGCGGCCCACAGUCAUUCGGGUCACCGCGCGACAGCCCACAGUCCUUCGGGUCACUGUCCCAUUACACCGUCGUGUAAUACUCAGCCAUAGUACAUGACACCGUUCGUCUGAGUCUUCCCGAUCCAGCGAAUAAGGGGUUUCCUUGAACCCGCUGGGUACGAGGCCGAGGAAACACUAAUCAACCCCAAACAAGCCUAGUAUGGGCGGGUUACGCACAUACUGUCGGCACACUCACACAACACAAACUCAAUCUAGAACCUAACAUAAUGAUAAAGUUCCAGACCUAACUAGACACUCGACUCUACAACACAAACCAAUAGUACCAGUAGUCCGGCUUAUAUGGCCUAAGACCCUGAGUACUAAUAACUAAACAAAUAAAUCAAACCGUUAUCCAGAUAGUCCAGCCUCCUGCUAUGAAACUAUCCUUAAAGAUAACGGGAACCUGCACUCAACCAUAUCAACACGCAAGAAUAGAAAACAUGAUGCAUCCUAGCCCUAGUCCUAGUCAGGUUAUUAACUCAGUCUUAAUUCCAUUCAUCUCAGCUUAGCCCUUGCUAAACUGAGUCCGGUUCCAUAAAUAAAAUAACCCUAAGGACUCUACCAUUCAAUAGCGUGAUCAUUCUAAUCUAUAUGCAACUCGAUCUACCCUAAAUUCCAAGUGGAAUUCAAACAAACCAACUCACAGUGUUCUAGGCGAGAAGCCGCUGGUUGAUCGGAGAGGACUUGGCCAAAACCCAAGGGACGCCUUGACUGGACUGGAUUGGACUGAUCUUGACUUGGACAUAACCUCGGCUUCAUCAUGAAGAAACUGACACGUCUGGACAGACUGAUCUGGACAGAAUCUCCUUUAGCUGCUGGACAGUUCUUCGGACAUUUCGGCGGAGUAUCGAGGAGAACUUCGACUGAUCUGAACCCAUGGAACUGAACUAAUCUUGGACAGCACCUCCACUUGAUUGUAGGAGAAUAUGACUGGCUUGGACGGAUUGAAUUGGACAGAGCUUCCGCGUCACAAUCGUAGAGAAUCGCCGAUUGGACGGAACUGGCCUUCUCGGUGGAGUAUCGGUCUUCAGAACUCAGCUACACUUUCUUUCUCUCUCUCUCUAACCACGUUGACUUGCUUCCCAUCUGAAUUGAUCUUCAAUUGGUUGAUCUUCAGUUGGCCAGAACCUUCCCUAGGCGCUGACUUGAAAUCAGUAGAGAAACUGAUCUCGAAAACUCUCUAAAACUCUCAAAAUAGCUCAAAACCUCUUACUUUCUUUUUCUACUUCUUUCUCCCUCUCUAACCCACUUUUUUAACUUGCUUUUGAAAGGUCUGGAUGAAUGAAAUGAGAAGGGGUCGUGGUCUUUAUAUAGGAGACACCAGCCAAUCAGCUUCAGGUUGGUGGCAGCCCGUGUGUCGCUUUGCAUGGCUCUGGACGCAUGCGUCGCGGCACCUCGUGCUCCACAUGUCUGAUGGCAUGACCAGGAGAUCAUGCAUAGUGACACCAUGCCCUCCAGAUGUCUGAUCCACGGCCUGACCUCAUCCAGAUUGACACUCAGCGCACACAUGUCGCUCAGCAUGCUCCGAUCGCAGGUUUCGCGGCACCUCGUGCUUCUGGGUGUCAAUCAGCAUGCUGUGCUCUCCUGGGCUUCAACACCUCCUGCUUCCCUUGCCACAUACCAUGCCAGGCAGGUUACAUGACGUCCUUAUCUCAUAGAUAAGGCCAGCUCGAGCUUCUCGGUCCAUUCGACUGAUUUCGACCCUUCCGGUGAAUUUUCGUCCCGUGAUCAAUCCCGAAUAUUUUUCUACGCCCGUUCUGAUGAGAUGAAUAUUUUUAAUAAACUCCAAGUGAAUCCUGACCUUGAUGGAAAAUAUUUCCCGAGCCUCCGGCUUCCUCGAAAAAUCGAUAAUACCAAAAUUAGGGUUUUCGCCCAACUUCGGGUUUUCCCGUCGUGCUUCAAUCCCGUCGUGCUUGCUUCCCGUCCUGCUUAAUUCCCGUCCUGCUUCCGACUUAUAAUGUCUUCAGAAUAAUAUUUUACUGAUACGAAGAUAUUCUGAGAAAACUUCGCGAUGAAGAAACGUCAAUCUUCAAAAACGUCGAGCUUCUAAACCGUCGUGCUUCAAAAAUGUGAUUCUUCCAAAACUGCCGUCUGAUCAAUCUAAGACAUUUCUAACAAUGGUAGAGCAGCUUAUCUCAACUCAUGCUUCACUCACGAUCCAUUCUUCGAACUUCUCGUACUUCAAAUUUCCCGAUCGAUCUGUAUUGCCCGCGACUCAACCACAAAGAUACUCGACCAUUCUCUCUCUCUUUUUUUUUUUUUUUUUUUUUUUUUUUUUUUAACGGGUUUCUACACCGUCGGUCGCUAUGUAUUGAGUGAUGACUCUCAGUCGGUCGCUACGUAUUGAGCGACCAAGACACUCAGUCGGUCGCUACGUAUUGAGCGACCAAGACACUCCGUCGGUCACUACGUAUUGAGUGACGAAGACUCUCAGUCGGUCGCUACGUAUUGAGUGACCAAGACACUCGGUCGGUCGCUACGUAUUGAGCGACCUAGCCACUUGAUCGGUCUCUACGUAUUGAGCGACCAAGCCACUCGGUCGUUCGCUACGUAUUGAGCGACCAAGCCACUCUGUCAGUCGCUACGUAUUGAGCAACCAAGCCACUCGGUCGGUCACUACGUAUCGAGCGACCUAGCCACUCGGUCGGUCGCUACAUAGUGACCAACCUGCGAACGAG